CGCCAAUUCCGUAGCGGCGCGGGUGUAGCGGACCGCGGCGCCGUUCCAGGCGCUAACGGCGCGGCCGGCGCUCAAGCGGACGCUGUUUGCGUAGCUAGCACCGUGGUAGAGGAAGCUCUGGCGGAGCUUACGAGCUUUGCGCAGCCGCUAGGGGGUGCUUCUGAAUGACUCACGGUUGAGUAGAGGGACGGCGGCGCUGAGGGGCGGGGACCGGCUGGGCCCGGCCCCGGGCGGUGACGUAGCGGGCUUUGUGAAUUCCGGGGUGAAGUUUGGUUGAGAAGCAGGAGGGUAAAUAAGGAUGCUGCGGAGACAAAGGGACUCUUAAAGGGGCAGCGCGGCGUUGACGGGGCUCUGAGGCGAUGGGGGCGGGGAGACCCUCGGGGGGCGGCGGGGCGCUGAGCUGAUGGAGGAGCCGCAGCGGGGGCACCCGGCGGGUAACACCGAACCUCCCCACCCCACCCCACCUCCUCGGCUCUGACAGCCUGCGGCUCACCGUACAGAACCCCACCGCGCCGUUCUGGACAGAAGAAUUAAAAUUGAUGAUUAAAAUUGAUGAUUAACGAGGCCUGGGGAAAACAACCUUCCAGACCGUGCCUCGGCAGGCAGGAUGAGGGUGGUUUUCAAUUCCCUGGCACGGGCCAUUAAGGUAACGCUACUGAAAGCAUCCUGAAGAUUUGUUGAGAUGCAGACCGGCGUUCGGAGCCGCGGUGAUGCUGGGGGCAGGGAGCAGAACGAGGCUUACUACAGCUGGACAACGACUGCGGAGCUGGAACAGUGCUGAGCACAGCCUUCCCAGGAGCUGCAGGGGAAGCUCAGCACAGAGAUCCUUCUUACUCCAGUAAAUCUGCUGAUGUCACCAGGAUUUCUCUGGAGAGGAAUGGUGUGCAGGAAUGGGACGUUUAUUGCAGACCUUUCAAACAGUGAGAUAAAGCAGUUGGUAUUCUCUUCCAGUGCAUGAGAGGGCUCCUGCCACACUUAUUUAUUUAUUUAGCACUGGGCUUUAACUGAGAAGUGGAAGACUUUAAUACUCCCAUCUGAUAUCAGAGAUGAAGGCAAGCCAAGAACUUACCCGUAACAGGAAUACAAGAAUUCCUGUAGAUUUUGCCACAGGAAAAUUAGUUUGCUACAGUGGUAUAAAGCCCUUGAACCUAAUCAAAGAUAAAACUCUGCUAAAGAAUUGUCUCCAUGCAACAGAACAUUUCAAAAACUGUAAAUAAACAAUACAAAACAGAAUAACACUCGCUGUGCACAGACUCCAUCUUCUCACAAAAAGAGAGCUUUUUAUUUUGAUGAAAAAUAACAAGACAUUUUCACACAAAUAUAACAGUAAAAAAAAAAUCCUUUCUCCUAGCUGUUUGCAUUCAAUGAGACCCUGCCCUUUGCAUGCAUUUGGCUGGGAUUCCUUUGCCAACAAAUGGUAAUCCCCCUGCAUGAAGCACUGCACUGAGAACCAUCAGAGCCAUAGGCCUGAGCACAGACACAAAGAGAAGGAAAAAGGAGGAGGAGGACAAGAAGAAAUCCUCAUGGCAUUCAAAACCUUUGCUUUCAAAUGGUGCAAAGAGAUUUGGAAGUAACAAAAAUCUUGGGCCAACUGCAGUGCCGCUUUUUGGAGGGACUCCUGAUCUGCAGAAAGCUCUGCACAGAGCUCCGGGAGUCCUUUCAUCUGAUUCCUGCUACAGGCACCUGCUGCUGCUUGCGGAUCUUGUUGAACAGCUCCAUGUACUGAACCAUUGUGUCUGCAGGGCUGUAGAUGCUGUCGUGUUUAGUGCCGAACACAGAUGGGAUGCUGGGAGUGUGGCUCCCCAUGAAGCUCUGCAUGAACUCCAUCAGCAGGUUCCAGCAGUCGUUGGCUAUCACACA